UGGGGAAUAUUGGACAAUGGGCGCAAGCCUGAUCCAGCCAUGCCGCGUGAGUGAUGAAGGCCCUAGGGUUGUAAAGCUCUUUCACCGGUGAAGAUAAUGACGGUAACCGGAGAAGAAGCCCCGGCUAACUUCGUGCCAGCAGCCGCGGUAAUACGAAGGGGGCUAGCGUUGAUCGGAUUUACUGGGCGUAAAGCGCACGUAGGCGGACUUUUAAGUCAGGGGUGAAAUCCCGGGGCUCAACCCCGGAACUGCCUUUGAUACUGGAAGUCUUGAGUAUGGUAGAGGUGAGUGGAAUUCCGAGUGUAGAGGUGAAAUUCGUAGAUAUUCGGAGGAACACCAGUGGCGAAGGCGGCUCACUGGACCAUUACUGACGCUGAGGUGCGAAAGCGUGGGGAGCAAACAGG
rnacentral:rRNA from 1 species